rnacentral:rRNA from 1 species
GAUCAUGGCUCAGGAUGAACGCUGGCGGCGUGCCUAACACAUGCAAGUCGAACGGGGUUGCGCGCUGAGGAAGCUUCGGCAGAAUCUGCGUAACCUAGUGACGGACGGGUGAGUAACGCGUGGACAACCUGCCCCUUUCUGGGGGACAACAGCCGGAAACGGCUGCUAAUACCGCAUGAGCUGCAGAGAUCGCAUGGUCUUUGUAGGAAAGGAGAGAUCCGGGAAGGGAUGGGUCCGCGUCCGAUUAGCCAGUUGGCGGGGUAACGGCCCACCAAAGCGACGAUCGGUAGCCGGCCUGAGAGGGCGGACGGCCACAUUGGGACUGAGACACGGCCCAGACUCCUACGGGAGGCAGCAGUGGGGGAUAUUGCACAAUGGGGGAAACCCUGAUGCAGCGACGCCGCGUGGGUGAAGAAGCUUUUCGGAGCGUAAAGCCCUAUCAGCAGGGAAGAAAGCCCGCAAGGGUUAGACGGUACCUGACUAAGAAGCCCCGGCUAACUACGUGCCAGCCGCCGC